rnacentral:rRNA from 1 species
AUCUGGGGGCAUACCACCUAGAAUGUACCUGAUCUCAUCUGAUCUCAGAAGCUAAGCAGGAUCAGGCCUGGAUGGGAGACGUAAAAGGCUUUGUGAGAGAGGUAGGAGAUUGCAACUU